AUUGAACGCUGGCGGCAGGCUUAACACAUGCAAGUCGAGCGAGCGGCGGACGGGUGAGUAAUGUCUGGGAAACUGCCUGAUGGAGGGGGAUAACUACUGGAAACGGUAGCUAAUACCGCAUACCAUCAGAUGUGCCCAGAUGGGAGUAGCUAGUAGGUGGGGUCAUGGCUCACCUAGGCGACGAUCCCUAGCUGGUCUGAGAGGAUGACCAACCACACUGGAACGGAGACACGGUCCAGACUCCUACGGGAGGCAGCAGUGGGGAAGAUUGCACAAUGGGGGCAAGCAUGAUGCAGCCAUGCCGCGUGUAGGAAGAAGGCCUUAGGGUUGUAAAGCACUUUCAGCGAGGAGGCGUUACGCGCAGAAGAAGCACCGGCUAACUCCGUGCCAGCAGCCGCGGUAAUUC
rnacentral:rRNA from 1 species